GUGCUCACCUUGGAAGCACAUAUAUGAGAAUUGGAAUGAUACAGAGAAGAUUAGCAUGGGCCCUGUGCAAGAAUGACAUGCAAGUUCGUGAAGCAUUUAAUAUUAAA
rnacentral:snRNA from 1 species